UCUUGUUGCCAACCACUGAUUUGAGGUUCAGAAGCAAGUAGAGAAUGGAGCUAUUAUUUCUGUGACUUUUCAUUAAUUCUGGGUCUAUGGUGACUGAGCAUCUUUCUUUCCAGAAGCUCGGAGGCAUUGUUGACUGAGCUGCUAUGCUAAUUUGUACUUUGGAGUAAGGCUUGAGCUAGGACUUACUGCAGAGAUGGUGCAAAUGGAUGGUGCAAAAGCUAUGGCACCCGGAGGCUGCAGUUGGAGCUUUAGUGACGAUUCCUAUCUGUUUACAUUUCAUUGCUCCGCAUUCUGAUGAUAAUAUAUUCACCACAUGUGACUUCUUCACCUACAAGUCCAAAAGAUACAUCAAAUUCAACAGGUCACAUAUGAAUUCAUUAGCAAACCCCCCCCCCCAUUUGACUUUUUUUUGUAUUUUAUACCUUGAUCUAUUAAAAUAAUAAUUCUCUUACUCUUUGAAAGUUAUACACAUUUAAACAAAUGUAUAUUGAUCACGUCCAUCUACAACUACCUCC
rnacentral:lncRNA from 1 species